UUGAAAUAAUCUUAUCUAUCCUACUUUCCCAACUUUUCACCUACGACAAUGGCCGUUCCCAUCCCCGGCAUCAUCUCUUUUUUUUUCCCCCAGAAAUCUCCCUUCGUAUUUAAGAGUAUCAUAUUUUCUAUGGAAAUAAUCUACCACUGUAUGUAGAAAGUUUAAAUGGUAUAGGAAAUAUGAUUGGUAAUUUAGUUUAUAUGCUGAACUCAAUGAUAAAUAAUUACAAUCAAAAAUUGAUUUUUAGUGGAGCCGGUUUGUA